AUGGCCAGACAUCACAAGUUCAGAGGCAAGCUGCACGCACCAUCUUCAGCCAAUUUUAUUCUCUGCAAAUAUUUGGAGAACCAUAACGAGCAGAUCAAGAAAUCUACGCGCGCCUUUCCGGUGAGCCUGACCCGCUACCCGCGCCCGUCAAGAGACCCGGAGGUAGGUCUCGAGGCGGAUGUCGUCGGACACCUCGAAGAUGAUCCACAGCGGCCCCCGAAUGCGGCACGCCUCCCGCAGCAUCCCACGCCCGUCGUCUGCGCGUGCGUUUGUUCAUCCCCAAUUCUAAAGGGAAUUUUCCGGAGCAAUAGUGAGAGGUUGGAGAGUGGUAAAAAUGCGGGUAAAAAGGAGAUCUUGGAGAGAGCUGAUCUGGUGGAGGGUGCCCUGAAGGCCUUCGAUGGCGCGACGGCUGAAGCCAUCGGCGGCGGCGGUGAGCGCGCGGAGGGUGUGGUCCGCUUUCCAUGGGCUCCCACCAGCUUCUUAUCCUCCCAUCUGCUCCGCCAUCAGCUCUGCACUCGGCGCUGCUCCUACGUCGGCUCUGUGCCAUUGCCAGCGCUCGCAUAA
rnacentral:rRNA from 1 species